UACGUAGGUGGCAAGCGUUGUCCGGAUUUACUGGGCGUAAAGAGCGCGCAGGCGGUCGGAUAAGUGAAUGUGAAGCCCCGGCUCAACUGGGGAGGUCAUUCGAUACUGUUCGACUCGAAGGCAGGAGAGGGAAGUGGAAUUCCCGGUGUAGUGGUGAAAUGCGUAGAUAUCGGGAGGAACACCAGUGGCGAAAGCGGCUUCCUGGUCCAGCCACGACGUUCAGGCACGAAAGCGUGGGGAGCAAACAGG
rnacentral:rRNA from 1 species